rnacentral:rRNA from 1 species
CAGCCGCGGUAAUUCCAGCUCCAAUAGCGUAUAUUAAAGUUGUUGCAGUUAAAAAGCUCGUAGUUGAAUUUCGGGGUUAGUAGGUUGGUCAUGCCUCUGGUAUGUACUGGUCUCACUGAUUCCUCCUUCCUUAUGAACCGUAAUGCCAUUAAUUUGGUGUUGCGGGGAAUUUGGACCGUUACUUUAGAAAAAAUUAGAGUUAGUUUAAAGCAAGCUAACGCUUGAAUACAUUAGCAUGGAAUAAUGAAAUAGGACGUCGAUCUUAUUUUGUUGGUUUCUAGGAUUGACGUAAUGAUUAAUAGGGAUAGUUGGGGGCAUUAGUAUUCAAUUGUCAGAGGUGAAAUUCUUGGAUUUAUUGAAGACUAACUACUGCGAAAGCAUUUGCCAAGGAUGUUUUCAUUAAUCAAGAACGAAAGUUAGGGAUCGAAGACGAUCAGAUACCGUCGUAGUCUUAACCAUAAACUAUGCCGACUAGGGAUCGGAUGAUGUUAAUUUUAUAAUGACUCAUUUGGCACCUUACGGGAAAC